CCUACGGGAGGCAGCAGUGGGGAAUUUUUCGCAAUGGGGGCAACCCUGACGAAGCAAUGCCGCGUGGAUGAAGAAGGCCUUCGGGUUGUAAAGUCCUUUCGUGGGGGACGAAAAGGCGGAUCCGAAUACGGUCUGCUAUUGACGUGAACCCGAGAAGAAGCACCGGCUAACUCCGUGCCAGCAGCCGCGGUAAUACGGAGGGUGCGAGCGUUAAUCGGAAUUACUGGGCGUAAAGGGCGCGUAGGCGGUGGGUUACGUCUGCCGUGAAAUCCCCGGGCUCAACCUGGGAAUGGCGGUGGAAACGGGCUGACUGGAGUAUGAGAGAGGGUGAUGGAAUUCCAGGUGUAGCGGUGAAAUGCGUAGAGAUCUGGAGGAACACCAGUGGCGAAGGCGGUCACCUGGCCCAAUACUGACGCUGAGGCGCGAAAGCGUGGGGAGCAAACAGGAUUAGAUACCUGGUAGUCCACGCCCUAAACGAUGGAUACUGGAUGUUUGGCGCCUUAAGUGCUGAGUGUCGUAGCUAACGCGAUAAGUAUCCGCCUGGGAAGUACGGCCGCAAGGGUAAAACUCAAAGGAAUUGACGG
rnacentral:rRNA from 1 species